rnacentral:rRNA from 1 species
CAGCCGCCACGGUAAUACGAAGGGUGCAAGCGUUACUCGGAAUUACUGGGCGUAAAGCGUGUGUAGGUGGUUGUUUAAGUCUGUCGUGAAAGCCCUGGGCUCAACCUGGGAAUUGCGAUGGAUACUGGGCGACUAGAGUGCGGUAGAGGAUAGUGGAAUUUCCGGUGUAGCAGUGAAAUGCGUAGAGAUCGGAAGGAACAUCCGCGGCGAAGGCGACUAUCUGGGCCAACACUGACACUGAGACACGAAAGCGUGGGGAGCAAACAGGAUUAGAUACCCCGGUAGUCCCUGUCUCUUAUAA